UUCACCCUCUACUGAGGCUUAGCAACAACCAGUGGAACCAGAGGGUAUUUUGUUUGGAUUAGGUCAACAGUCAUCUUCUGAGAUUUUCAUCUAUCCUUUUUGUUACGGUGCAGUAGUCUCUGUUCCAACCUUCCAUCUGAAUCACAAAUGUCUUAGAAUAGCUCAUCCUGAUAAAUGGCAUGGAAAGCUUCUGCCUUCUGGGAUUUCUAUUCAGGGGCUGCCGGCCUGCCCAGAGUCUCCUCGGCCCAUCUUUGAGGGACCUUCAAAGCUAAGCACAAACAGAAGCAAGCUCAGAGUUCUCUGUUUACCAAAGCCACAGAGGCUGGUCACCUAAAUUACUGGUCUACACAGGACAAAUAGAAUAUAUGAGUAUUCCGUCAAUGAGAAAAAUAAAUAAAUACAAAUGACUAGGAGAAUAAAAACAACAACAAUAAUAAUGCUAUCUUA